GAGCGGUAAGGCCACUUCGGUGGUACACGAGCGGCGAACGGGUGAGUAACACGUGAGCAACCUGCCCUUCUCUUUGGAAUAAGCGUUGGAAACGACGUCUAAUGCCGAAUAUGACCUCUUUUCGCAUGAUUUGAGGUGGAAAGCUCCGGCGGAGAGGGAUGGGCUCGCGGCCUAUCAGCUAGUUGGUGUGGGUAAUGGCCCACCAAGGCGACGACGGGUAGCCGGCCUGAGAGGGUGACCGGCCACACUGGGACUGAGACACGGCCCAGACUCCUACGGGAGGCAGCAGUGGGGAAUAUUGGACAAUGGGCGAAAGCCUGAUCCAGCAACGCCGCGUGAGGGAUGACGGCCUUCGGGUUGUAAACCUCUUUCAGCGGGGACGAAGCGAAAGUGACGGUACCCGCAGAAGAAGGACCGGCCAACUACGUGCCAGCAGCCGCGGUAAUACGUAGGGUCCGAGCGUUGUCCGGAAUUAUUGGGCGUAAAGGGCUCGUAGGCGGUCUGUCGCGUCGGGAGUGAAAACUCAGGGCUCAACCCUGAGCGUGCUUCCGAUACGGGCAGACUAGAGGUAUGCAGGGGAGAACGGAAUUCCUGGUGUAGCGGUGGAAUGCGCAGAUAUCAGGAGGAACACCGGUGGCGAAGGCGGUUCUCUGGGCAUUACCUGACGCUGAGGAGCGAAAGCAUGGGGAGCGAACAGGAUUAGAUACCCUGGUAGUCCAUGCCGUAAACGUUGGGCGCUAGGUGUGGGGACCUUCCACGGUCUCCGUGCCGCAGCUAACGCAUUAAGCGCCCCGCCUGGG
rnacentral:rRNA from 1 species